rnacentral:rRNA from 1 species
GACACGCUGGCGGCGUGCCUAACACAUGCAAGUCGAGCGGGGUUGAAGCGAGAGGUAACUCGAGCUUCUACCUAGCGGCGGACGGGUGAGUAACGCGUGGGCAACCUGCCUCAAGGUUUGGGAUAACAGCCCGAAAGGGCUGCUAAUACCGGAUAUGCCUAUGGCCUCGCAUGGGGCUAUGAGCAAAGGGGAAACCCGCCUUGAGAUGGGCCCGCGUCCCAUCAGCUAGUUGGUGAGGUAACAGCUCACCAAGGCGACGACGGGUAGCCGGCCUGAGAGGGUGACCGGCCACACUGGGACUGAGACACGGCCCAGACUCCUACGGGGGGCAGCAGUGGGGGAUCUUGCACAAUGGGCGAAAGCCUGAUGCAGCGACGCCGCGUGAGCGAAGAAGGCCUUCGGGUUGUAAAGCUCUGUCUGGAGGGACGAGCAAAAUGACGGUACCUCCGGAGGAAGCCACGGCUAACUACGUG